rnacentral:rRNA from 1 species
GAUGAACGCUGGCGGCGUGCCUAAUACAUACAAGUCGAGCGAACGGACGAGAAGCUUGCUUCUCUGAUGUUAGCGGCGGACGGGUGAGUAACACGUGGAUAACCUACCUAUAAGACUGGGAUAACUUCGGGAAACCGUAGCUAAUACCGGAUAAUAUUUUGAACCGCAUGGUUCAAAAGUGAAAGACGGUCUUGCUGUCACUUAUAGAUGGAUCCGCGCUGCAUUAGCUAGUUGGUAAGGUAACGGCCUACCAAGGCAACGAUGCAUAGCCGACCUGAGAGGGUGAUCGGCCACACUGGAACUGAGACACGGUCCAGACUCCUACGGGAGGCAGCAGUAGGGAAUCUUCCGCAAUGGGCGAAAGCCUGACGGAGCAACGCCGCGUGAGUGAUGAAGGUCUUCGGAUCGUAAAACUCUGUUAUUAGGGAAGAACAUAUGUGUAAGUAACUGUGCACAUCUUGACGGUACCUAAUCAGAAAGCCACGGCUAACUACGUG